rnacentral:rRNA from 1 species
CGGCCGCGUCGACCUUGGAAACAGGUGCUAAUACCGCAUAACCAUAGUUACCGCAUGGUAACUAUGUAAAAGGUGGCUAUGCUACCGCUUUUGGAUGGGCCCGCGGCGCAUUAGCUAGUUGGUGAGGUAAAGGCUUACCAAGGCAAUGAUGCGUAGCCGAACUGAGAGGUUGAUCGGCCACAUUGGGACUGAGACACGGCCCAAACUCCUACGGGAGGCAGCAGUAGGGAAUCUUCCACAAUGGGCGAAAGCCUGAUGGAGCAACGCCGCGUGGGUGAAGAAGGUCUUCGGAUCGUAAAACCCUGUUGUUAGAGAAGAAAGUGCGUGAGAGUAACUGUUCACGUUUCGACGGUAUCUAACCAGAAAGCCACGGCUAACUACGUGCCAGCAGCCGCGGUAAUACGUAGGUGGCAAGCGUUAUCCGGAUUUAUUGGGCGUAAAGGGAACGCAGGCGGUCUUUUAAGUCUGAUGUGAAAGCCUUCGACUUAACCGGAGUAGUGCAUUGGAAACUGGGAGACUUGAGUACAGAAGAGGAGAGUGGAACUCCAUGUAGG